rnacentral:lncRNA from 13 species
AUGGUAAUAAUGGGUAUCCUUAUCCUGUUCCAGAUCUUAGAAAAUAUGCUUCAGUUCUUCACCUUUGAAUAUGAUGUUACCUGUGAACUUUUCAUAUAUGACCUUUAUUGUGUUGAAGAUGCUUAAUGAAUAUUUGCAUACUGAAAGGAUGAGUUAAUUCUUCCAGCCACCCUGCAAGGAUUGCAGAUGAGAAGUUAAGCAUCUUGUUCAAGCUGUUGCUACUAAUAGACAAGAGAACAAAAAUAAAAUUUAAGUCUGCUUCA